rnacentral:rRNA from 1 species
UUGAACGCUGGCGGCAUGCUUUACACAUGCAAGUCGAACGGUAACAGCACUUCGGUGGCUGACGAGUGGCGAACGGGUGAGUAAUACAUCGGAACGUGCCUAGUAGUGGGGGAUAACUACUCGAAAGAGUAGCUAAUACCGCAUGAGAUCUAAGGAUGAAAGCAGGGGACCUUCGGGCCUUGCGCUACUAGAGCGGCUGAUGGCAGAUUAGGUAGUUGGUGGGAUAAAAGCUUACCAAGCCGACGAUCUGUAGCUGGUCCGAGAGGACGACCAGCCACACUGGGACUGAGACACGGCCCAGACUCCUACGGGAGGCAGCAGUGGGGAAUUUUGGACAAUGGGCGCAAGCCUGAUCCAGCAAUGCCGCGUGCAGGAUGAAGGCCUUCGGGUUGUAAACUGCUUUUGUACGGAACGAAAAGCCCUCUUCUAAUACAGGAGGGUCAUGACGGUACCGUAAGAAUAAGCACCGGCUAACUACGUG